rfam:Neotoma lepida isolate 417 scaffold_3649, whole genome shotgun sequence.
GUGGUCAUCAAAGUGGAGGCCCUCUCUGAGCCAGAAUUUAGAAAGUGCUUCCACUUUGUGUGCCAC